rnacentral:lncRNA from 1 species
GAGAUGGAUUUUACCAUGUUGGCCAGGCUGAUCUCUUGAACUCCUGAGCUCAGGUGAUCUGCCCACCUCAGCCUGCCAGAGUGCUGGGAUUAUAGGCAUAAGCCACUGCAUCCAGCCUAAUUUUAAAAUUUUUAACUUUUUUUUUUUUGAGAUAGAGUUUUGCUCUUGUCACCCAGGCUGAAGUGCAAUGGCACUCGGCUCAGUGCAACCUCUGCCUCCCAGAUUCAAGCAAUUCUCCUGCCUCAGUCUCCACAGUAGCUGGAACUACAGGGAACAUGACAUCCUCUUCCUAGGUUACACCCACCUGCAGAGGGCCCAGCCCCAUCACUGGAGCCACUGGAUUCUGAGGUGAGCUGGGUGAGUUGCUGGGGCUGUACUGGAUGGGAGGACCCUGGCUGUCCUGACCCUCCUGCCCCUGGCUUUCCACAAUGGUGCCAUGGUGCUGACCCUAGACUCUGAGCAGCUGCUGGAGGUUCGGAAGCUGAUUGGUGUCCUGCCCCUGGGGAGGUGGGUGA